CCUUGUUUUUCAGGUUUCCCAGCUCAAGACAACAGUUGGAUAGCAUCUUGUGCGCAUAGACCUUCUAUGAGUUGUAGGGUACAGAAGAAGGAUACCAACUUUAAAACAUCUUAGGCAAUCCGGAAAUUAUUCAGCAUGUGCAACAAUUCAUCAAGUUCUUGUGCAUCAGCAAGGAAAAUCUCCACAGAAAGCUACUUAGGAAGAAUCUUCCAUUAUCUAAGAGCAAUUUCCGGAAUUUAACCUUGAGGACAAGUUUGUUUAUGAGGAGGUAUGUUAGGACCAAACCAGAGCAAAAACUUAUAAGGGAAAAGGGUCUAAAAGUUGUAUUGUAGGAGG
rnacentral:sRNA from 1 species